rnacentral:rRNA from 1 species
CUACGGGAGGCAGCAGUGAGGAAUUUUGCGCAAUGGGGGGAACCCUGACGCAGCAACGCCGCGUGAGUGAUGAAGGCUUUCGGGUCGUAAAGCUCUGUCAAGUGGGAAGAACCUAUGCAGUGUUAAUAUCACUGUAUACUGACGGUACCACUGAAGGAAGCACCGGCUAACUCCGUGCCAGCAGCCGCGGUAAUACGGGGGGUGUAAGCGUUAUUCGGAAUCAUUGGGCGUAAAGGGCACGUAGGCGGCUUGGUAAGUCAGAUGUGAAAGCCCGGGGCUUAACCCCGGAAGUGCAUUUGAUACUGUCAGGCUUGAGUAUGGGAGAGGGAAGCGGAAUUCCUGGUGUAGAGGUGAAAUUCGUAGAUAUCAGGAGGAACACCGGUGGCGAAGGCGACUUCCUGGACCAAUACUGACGCUGAGGUGCGAAGGCGUGGGUAGCAAACAGGAUUAGAUACCCUGGUAGUC